rnacentral:rRNA from 1 species
UACGAAGGGGGCUAGCGUUGUUCGGAAUUACUGGGCGUAAAGCGCACGUAGGCGGAUAUUUAAGUCAGGGGUGAAAUCCCGGGGCUCAACCCCGGAACUGCCUUUGAUACUGGGUAUCUAGAGUCCAGAAGAGGUGAGUGGAAUUCCGAGUGUAGAGGUGAAAUUCGUAGAUAUUCGGAAGAACACCAGUGGCGAAGGCGGCUCACUGGACCGUUGUUGACGCUGAGGUGCGAAAGCGUGGGGAGCAAACAGG